UAGAAAUAUGGAUUUCAAGUAAUAUUGUCGAUCAUUUUCAAGUAGAAAUUUGCCUAGAAUUUUUUAUAGUGAUUCUUUGAGUUUUUUUUUUAGUUUGUGUAAACAUGAAAUUAUAUACGUGCUAGAAAUUCAUGUUUUUGUCAUGAAUUAUUUGUAUGGUCGAAUGAAACAAUCGGCUGUGAUCUUUUAUUUGCAGUCAUAUAUUUUUCAUUUCCUUUUUUUUCAAUUGUAAUUUGUAUCAAUCACUGAUCAUCACCAGUUUUACGAUCUGCUGCAAAAUUGAAAUUUGAUUUUUGGUCGAACUUUGGUCCUUUCAUCAUUGUUUUUCCAUCAUGAUCGGAAUCGCAAUAACCUAAAAAUUCAUUGUUCGAUUGUACGUGAACCGUCCAAACGAGUUGAUUUGAGGAAAUAAUUUUUAACCAUUUUCUCAUGGGAUGGAUCCGAAAAUGGUGAGUCGUGGAAGCGUCUUCGAAUCAAAGUUUCGUAAACGUUGAUCGCGAGUGCCGGGAAAUUAGCAUGAGACGAAUUUUUGUUGAGCUGCUCCAAGACUCAGCUUCCCCCUUCUCAUAUAUAAACACGAUAGAGAAAAGCUUAUUCGCUUGCUCGCGCCCUCCCUCGUUUAUACGUGAGAUUUUCAGCAUGACGGCAGAGCUAAUUGCAAAAAAAUCAAGUGUUCUUGCCCCGUGCUCGAAACACGGACACGGAUUUGCCUCGACUUUGCUGCUGCAAAUUCUCGCCGUGGUUGUUUCCCUUCCUCUCUUCCUGCUUUCGUUACAACCGGAUAUUGUAACAGAAUCUUGAUUAGAACUGUAAUUAGGAAGGUGCUCGUCUGGCUUUCUGACUACAAAUUAUGUAACGAGUAAAACGUCGGUAAAUAAUGACAGUUCCUCGUUGAACACACAAGCACAGCUCCGGUUAAAUUUGAUCUCAUAUUUCGUCAUUCGCAACUUCCGACAGCAUCCAUCAGAAUCUCAUUAGCACGUGAUAACAGGCCGCGUUAUUUUUUUUUAAUUUCCUUGAAAUUUUAUUCCUCAAGGUCUCCGCGAAUUUCGGUCAAAACCACACAUUUUACAUUUUCACGCACAUUGGGCGUCCAUGUCACGCAGUUUUAAGGUCGUUUCGCAGACGACUCGGCUUAAGGGCCGCGUUCUCUUGAUAUUUAGAAAAAAUCCAAUUUUUUAAAAGAUCCCGAUUUUUCGUACUUGUGGAAAUUCAAAAAAUAAAAUCUUGAAAUAAUUUCACACUUCCUUUUCAGGAGCUGCGUUUUUAAACAGUGUUAGCACGAUGGCUCAGUCAAUUUUUCUUAUUUUGAAGAUUUUUUCCACAGCCUAUCGAAAUGUUUUUUCAAUUUUUUGUAUCGACAAUUUCUUCUCAAUUAUCGAACUAAUUUUUCUUCAAAACUGAAUUAACAACGAGGCCUGAAGCAUCGUACUUUAUUUAUUUAAAAAAGAGGAAAUUUAUCUCAAAUUUUUUUCUUUUUUCUACAGUUUUGAUCAUUUUUGGUGCAGCUAUUAUACUGAGAAGUAGAUCGCGUGUUUUUCAUCAGCAGUUUAUUAAUAUGUUUUGAAAAUAAUUUUAAUAUACACGAAAAUAGUAUUACAGACGAAAAGUUUAUUAUUCCAUUAUAAAAAGUGUUCUUAUAGACGAAAAAUUGUUAAAAAAUGUGAAAUUAGUUUACAAUUUUGAUGAUUUAUGAAAUUUAAUGGAUUUUUGGAAUGUACAGAAGCAACAGGUCCUCUAAAAGUGUUGUUUUAAUCUUCAAAUGUGCUUAUUGGUAAUUGAGAAAAAAAAUAAUAAACUGCGAAGCCGGAAACGAGUGAAACAAUCGUUUUAAUUGGGUGCUCGACACUUUUCGAGCUGAAGAUCACAAAAGUUCAGCGUGCGACGCAUAUCAUGAAAGAAAAAUAAAAAUGACUCAUCUGGUCGAAUGAUAUUGUUGAUUCGGCCCUGCUGGGACAGUCUAAACACAGAUAUAUCACUGAAUGGUAGAAGCACGGAGCAAUUAACCGACAACAUGUGCACGUUACGUUUUCGCGAAUGGGCUUCCUCGUUUCCGCUUAACGGGUUCACGUAACAACGUGUUGGGCGAAGAGGCUUUUUGCAAAACCAGCAAAUGCGAAGUGCAUUCCAGCAGCUCCGAGCUACUCUGCGCUGUCGCCCAAUUCACGACGACUGUCUUUACCACUUUCUCGAAUUUUCCAGAGUUUUGGCACCUUCCAAGUUGGGCCAAUCGAUUCGGAGUGGUCCAGCAGGAUUUUAAGGAGUUUUCAAAAAUAGCAAAAUUCAAACUUCAUCGAUGUCCCGAUCGUUUUCAUUUCGCCCACUCUCCAAGGCUGCAUGGAAUCUCUUCGACGAACCGGAUUUAGCUUUUCGUCGAUUCUUUACGUGCUUUACAAAAAGUUUGCGUCAGGUUGACCAAGAAGCACAUUGGAAGACUGCAGAUUCGAUUCGAUUUUCCAAAGACGGAGGAACUAAUGAGCUUUUCAGUAUAUUUCUGAAACAUUUGCACCAGCGAGUUCGACUCUCCGAGUCCCUUGUGCCCACAGGAGCAUGUCUGAAUACCUAUACGCAAGAGGCUCGAUGUUCUGAAGACAGGAGUUCACCAAUGGCAGACAGACCCUAUCGAGGGAGCAAAGUUUCCUCGUUCCUCGAACAUGCCAGUAGUACAGCUAAUAUAUAGGGCGGUACUGUCUUCUUGGCUUCCGGAAAGAUAUGAAGUUCGUCAAAGAUCCGGCGAGAUAGAGCGCAAGUGGUAAUUCGGCCUGGAACCUUCGUGUUUAGCAGGCUAAGAAAAAGCGACUGGAACCGUUGUCCGGCGUUCCUUCGAAUUCGAAGUGCAAAAGAUCCGAAAGGCCAGAAGAAGCAAGCGGCGGGGAGGAGGAAUGAUUAUGGGUUAUGGUGGGAUUCAAAGUUGCAAAAUUGUAACGAACUGCGUUCAAAAAUGGAUGUGUUAUUAAAACAUCAAGCUCGUC